rnacentral:rRNA from 1 species
AUGGAGACCUGUAUGAAUGGCAUAACGAGGGCUUGACUGUCUCCUCUUUCAAGUCAAUGAAAUUGAUUUCCCCGUGCAGAAGCGGGGAUGAAAUCAUAAGACGAGAAGACCCUAUGGAGCUUUAGACACCAAGGCAGAUUAUAAUCACCAGCCCUAACUAAAAGGACAUAAGUUAAUUAAACCCUGCCCCAUGUC